CAUACAAGUGCACACAUGCUUUAUUUCAAGAUCUUAUUACACUGUAGUUAUAAGUCUGGAAUGGAAAGCAGGCUUAUAUGCAAGAACAAAACAAGAAGAUAAUUUUAUUAAGAAGAUGUAGACUCUGGUAGGACUGCUUAAUUACUUAACAGAGAUUGUCACCUUGCAUUUACAACACGCUGUUCAGUUCCUUGAAUCCCAGAGGACUUAUAUGGGAGACUUUGACAUUGAAGUUUCUAAUGUAGGCACAUAAGCUGUACAAAAUGAGUGUGUGCUGAUGCCUUAAGUGAAAGCGCCUAAAGGUCUGGUGUUCCUGGAUGCAGGGGUACUCAUCGAGCAUAUGAGGUGAUAUGAAUCUUUGCUUUGUUCCACAUUCUUUAUCAAAAGAGCAGCCUGCAUUUCUCCCCUUCCAGGGCUUGUUUAUUUUUAACAGCUGAUCACAGGUUUUGUGGGAGGCUAUGUGGGGCAAGAAGAGGAGCAGAAAGCAAGUAAUCUCCCUUGCUUUCUUACUAAUGAGACUACAAAAUGACACAGCCAUCCACAGUACAAUAAAGCCCCAAUGUUUAAUGAGCAUGAGGCUCCUUAUAGCUACUUUGGAAGCUCAGUUAGCUCACCUGUGCUGUUAGUACAGGACAUGCUCUGACACAGAGAGGAGUUGCCACAGCUUGUGACAUGUGCAUCUUUGCCUCAUGGAAAAAGAUCUCAAGGAUUUCAUGGGAGAUGAGAAAUGAACACACCCCCCCGUGCUGCCCUCGUAUAAUGGGGUACAUGGCUUAGGAUGGAGCGGUACUCUGCAUGGAAGACUAAUGGAAACCAGAAGGUCCUCAGUGGAGGAGCAAUGCCUUGGGAGGCCCUACACCUCACAGAGGAAUAUGCUGCAAGGAAGACAGGAAGUAGAUCCAGCUUGUUAAGAUUAUGACUCAGGAUACAUCUUUAUUUCUGAGCUUCUGUCCCUGGAUAUUCCUCAUAUAACAGGAGUUCAUUCUGCAGUAGCAGUGAUUCCCGGGAACUUUCAGGCAUGGUUUAAUCUAUACUCAUCCCCAGGUGUCUCAUCUAAACUCACCCCCAGCUCCAGUGCAGGAUAUUUGCUAGGCUUCUGGGGCUGGCAGGAGGAGACCCUCAGGCUGUCCCCAUCACUCUUCUCCACCCCAUUUACCAGCUGGCAGAGCCUGGACUGCUCUGGGCAGCAUACAUGUGUGGGAAAUGGUGCUACAGGGUGGGUUCAGGAGAGAAGAAAAGGCAGGAAAGCAUGAAGAAUGAAUACGUCACAUAUAAGAGAUGUGCCUGGGAAAUGCAAGUUUGGUGUGAAGAACUGAGCAGGAGCAUGAAAAACUCUGGAUUUUCAUCAAGCAAAAGAGAGGAACAGCAUAUCAACAGCAUACGGGGUGGGAUGAGGGCAUGAAAUACAGGAGUGAGUAUGUGUGGGUGUCUGCACACAUGAAAGAAUAGGAGAAAGGCAGAAGGAAGCAGCAAGAGGAAAAAGGGAGCUGGGAGUAUUCUGGAGAUAACACAUCCUGAGAGAUGCUUCCAACAAAGUGAGCUCUCAAUGAACUGGCAAAUUAUAACAUCGUAAGAUAAAGCAGUCCC
ensembl:lncRNA